rnacentral:rRNA from 1 species
UACGAAGGGGGCUAGCGUUGCUCGGAAUUACUGGGCGUAAAGCGUGCGCAGGCGGUUCGUUAUGUCCGUUGUGAAAGCCCCGGGCUCAACCUGGGAAUGGCAAUGGAAACUGGCGGGCUAGAGUGUGGCAGAGGGGGGUGGAAUUCCGCGUGUAGCAGUGAAAUGCGUAGAGAUGCGGAGGAACACCGAUGGCGAAGGCAGCCCCCUGGGCUAGCACUGACGCUCAGGCACGAAAGCGUGGGGAGCAAACAGGG